GCCUAAGUCCCCAGUUCCCCAGUGGCUCUCACAUGUUUAUUCAACUUCUAUUUACAUCAAACUUAAACUUUCCUACUGUUCAUUUUCAAUAAUAAAAAAAUGCUGCCCGCUUUUAAACCCCCUCAUGAUUUAUCAUGAGCGAAGGGUCUUACGGAGCCGUUUACCAGUCCUGAAUACGAUAUUUAAGUCAUUAUCAUCGCAACCAUCAGCUGAGUUCCCGUGUAGUGACAUGCGAGAAAUGCAUAUUUUCAGUUGAAAAAAUCAAAGAACCCUCAUGUCUAAUCAGGAGCCGAGCAGUCAGCUCCCCCAGCACCGGCCGGGCUGGCGUGGAAGGCAAGCGCAGCCUUUGCUUAUUGUUUUAACUUCGCUGCCGGGCGAAACCCGCUGCAGAGCUCUGGGCUCACACUUCAGCUAGGAUAUUUCUGGGACCCCCUUUUCUGCAAGUGUAAAUAAAGAUUAUGAAAGAGCCAUUUGAUGGGCAUAAAAUUCCUGAUUAGAUUUAACAGUCGAGUCUUAAACUGCGUCAAGGAAAAUAGUAUUUUGUUUCUUUAAACUCUGUGGGUUGUCCGGGCUGUUGUUGCAGAAGAGGAAAUUGCUGGAAACCGAGGGGGGGAUGCGGGGCUCGGAGGGAGCGUCGUGGGCUCCGCCGCAGCUUCUCCUCCUCCUCCAGAGCAGGGAAAUCUUAGCCAUGGCUCUGAUAAUGAUCUUAACUUGCCAUCCCGGCGGAGCUCGACCCUCGGCGCCGGCGGAGCGCGCCCGCGGAGGGGCCGCGCCAGGCGCAGGGGAUGCUGCUGCGGGAAGAUCUUGAGAGCAGCGACUAUGCCGAAGAUGCAUUUGUCAUUCUUCUUCAAAUACAAAACAAGACAAGGAAAGGAAAAGUUGCUGGAAGAGUUGCAGUGAGGCUAUGAGUUUCUGUAUGUUUUUUUAAUGAGCAGCACCACAGAAGGAGAAAUUAUCUUUAUGAUGCUUUCAGUUUCCAGGGCAAGUGAAAAACCCACUUUCUUU